UACGUAGGGUGCGAGCGUUAAUCGGAAUUACUGGGCGUAAAGUGUGCGCAGGCGGCCGAGCAUGUCGAGUGUGAAAGCCCCGGGCUUAACCUGGGAACUGCGCUCGAAACUACUUGGCUGGAGUGUGGCAGAGGAAGGUGGAAUUCCACGUGUAGCGGUGAAAUGCGUAGAGAUGUGGAGGAACACCGAUGGCGAAGGCAGCCUUCUGGGCCAACACUGACGCUCAUGCACGAAAGCGUGGGGAGCAAACAGG
rnacentral:rRNA from 1 species